rnacentral:rRNA from 1 species
CUCGCGGUAGGACAUGGGGGGGGAGGGUUGUCCGGAUUCCAGGGGGGUAAAGUGCGGGUAGGGGGCGACUAGAAGGCCGCGUGGAAAGUGCGGGGCUCAACCCCGGAUCGGCCGCGGCGACGGGAGGGGUUGGGCACUGUAGAGGCAGAUGGAAGUCCGGGUGUAGCGGUGGAAUGCGUAGAGAUCCGGAAGAACACCGGUGGCGAAGGCGGUCUGCUGGGCAGUGGCUCGCAAGGGCCAAUAGCCGACACUGAGGCGCGACAGCGUGGGGAGCAAACAGGUUUAGAUACCCCAGUAGUC